GUCUCUGUGGCGCAAUCGGUUAGCGCGUUCGGCUGUUAACCGAAUGGCUGUUGCUUCAAGCCCACCCAGUGACG
rnacentral:tRNA from 1 species